rnacentral:lncRNA from 1 species
UAAAGCUUCUCCUCCUCCUCUUCUUAUUGAUCGCAGCUUCCGGAGAGAAGCGGGGAGAGAAGGUGGGCGCCGCGGGCCGCGAGGAGGGACUCGAACGGUUGUUUGAUCUGGGCUCAAAGCGGCAGCCUCGGUACUCCGCUGGGGCUCUACUGCGGAAUAGCGAGCGCAGAGUUCCCCACGCCUCCGACCCCCUCCAUAAUCGCUAACUUGAUGGCUCCUUUGUUCUUCCUCCCCGCCAAAGUCCUGACCUUGUUUUUGUUUGUCUGGCAACUGUUAUAAAUUAAGAUGCACAUAUAUGCGACAUGGUGUGAUAUUAUAU